AGGAUAAUAGUUAAUUAUAACAUUUAAUUUGCAUUUAAAAAGUAUUGUGUACCAAUUUAUCUUU
rnacentral:tRNA from 1 species